rnacentral:rRNA from 1 species
AACGAACGCUGGCGGCAGGCUUAACACAUGCAAGUCGAACGAGAAGUCACCUUCGGGUGAUGGAAAGUGGCAGACGGGUGAGUAACGCGUGGGAACCUACCUAAUGGUACGGAAUAACUCAGGGAAACUUGGGCUAAUACCGUAUGUGCCCCGAAAGGGGAAAGAUUUAUCGCCAUUAGAUGGGCCCGCGUCGGAUUAGCUAGUUGGUAGGGUAACGGCCUACCAAGGCGACGAUCCGUAGCUGGUCUGAGAGGAUGAUCAGCCACACUGGGACUGAGACACGGCCCAGACUCCUACGGGAGGCAGCAGUGGGGAAUAUUGGACAAUGGGCGCAAGCCUGAUCCAGCCAUGCCGCGUGAGUGAUGAAGGCCCUAGGGUUGUAAAGCUCUUCCGGCGGGGACGGAUAAUGACGGUACCCGCAGAAGAAGCCCCGGCUAACUUCGUG